CCCCCCCCUCGUGCCCCCCAGGUCUGAUCAUCGACGCGUUCGGGGAGCUGCGGGACCAGCAGGAGCAGGUGAAGGAGGACAUGGAGACGAAGUGCUUCAUCUGCGGCAUCGGCAGUGAUUACUUCGACACGACGCCCCACGGCUUCGAGACCCACACGUUGGAGGAGCACAACCUGGCGAACUACAUGUUCUUCUUGAUGUAUCUGAUCAAUAAGGAUGAGACGGAGCACACGGGGCAGGUGG
rnacentral:lncRNA from 1 species